CAUGCAGCCGAGCGGUAGAGAUCUUUCGGGAUCUUGAGAGCGGCGUACGGGUGCGGAACACGUGUGCAACCUGCCUUUAUCAGGGGGAUAGCCUUUCGAAAGGAAGAUUAAUACCCCAUAAUAUAUUGAGUGGCAUCACUUAAUAUUGAAAACUCCGGUGGAUAGAGAUGGGCACGCGCAAGAUUAGAUAGUUGGUGAGGUAACGGCUCACCAAGUCUGCGAUCUUUAGGGGGCCUGAGAGGGUGAUCCCCCACACUGGUACUGAGACACGGACCAGACUCCUACGGGAGGCAGCAGUGAGGAAUAUUGGACAAUGGGUGCGAGCCUGAUCCAGCCAUCCCGCGUGAAGGACGACGGCCCUAUGGGUUGUAAACUUCUUUUGUAUAGGGAUAAACCUACUCUCGUGAGAGUAGCUGAAGGUACUAUACGAAUAAGCACCGGCUAACUCCGUGCCAGCAGCCGCGGUAAUACGGAGGGUGCAAGCGUUAUCCGGAUUUAUUGGGUUUAAAGGGUCCGUAGGCGGAUCUGUAAGUCAGUGGUGAAAUCUCACAGCUUAACUGUGAAACUGCCAUUGAUACUGCAGGUCUUGAGUGUUGUUGAAGUAGCUGGAAUAAGUAGUGUAGCGGUGAAAUGCAUAGAUAUUACUUAGAACACCAAUUGCGAAGGCAGGUACUAGCACAACUGACCGCUGAUGGACGAAAGCGGUGGGGGAGGCGAACAGGAUU
rnacentral:rRNA from 1 species